GUCCUCAGUCUUUUUGCAGGCUCAGAAAACAAAACCAGGAGGCCUGUAAAUGUUUCUUCUCCAAUUGGAUGAUGAUAAGACUGUGACACGGGAUGCCACCUUUAGUCUUGUGAUGAAGCAAAGCUCAGGAAGAAGUGUGAUUAAAUGGUACCCACAUGUGUGCUGCUGAGAAGGAUGUACAGGGGCACCUGCAGCCAAAUCCAAGCCUCCUCAGAUGGGCAGGAUAUCAGUCUUGGACUGUCUAACCUGCCGGAGCAGCACUGAAUGAUCACCACACAUGAGCAUGUUCCUGCAACAUUCAGCAUCUGAUCUGCCAUCUGUGUGCUUCUGCUUUUGUGUCAAAUGUCAACCAGCUGGAGAGGAAACUACACCAGUGUACUGGGAUGUUUCAGCAACACGUGCCAGAUGCUGUUCCUUCAUGGUGACAUCACCAGAGACAGCCCCGCCCACCUCAGGACCUCGCCAUUGAUCAUGAUGAUUAUAAUGAUGACAGCGAGCGGAACUAAGACUGUAAAAAUCCACGACCAGAAUGUUUAGAUGCUUUCUAAUUAUUCAUGAAUACUGAGAGCCUCUUUCUGUGUUUUGUCUGUUUUGGUUUUUUUACCUCAUUUGUUACUAACAAAGUUCACCAAACUCACUCAGUUUACAUUCUGUAUGUUUCCAUCUUUACCAGCCACACUCUUAACUGCAAUUAAGAAAACAAACCGUAGAAAUUGUCGUUUUUCUCUUUUGUAAUUGAUGAUAAUUCAGUGAAUAUACGGCGC
ensembl:lncRNA